CGCUCAUCCAACUGGCAACAUGUCACUUUGCUCUGGGGGAGUACAGAAUGACAUGUGAGAAGGUCCUGGAUCUGAUGUGCUACAUGGUGCUCCCCAUACAGGAUGGAGGGAAGUCGCAGGAAGAGCCGUCCAAAGUAAAGCCCAAGUGUAGAAAAGGUUUGGAUCUGAAGCUUCUGCCCUGUACCAGCAAGGCUAUUAUGCCGUACUGCUUGCACUUGAUGCUGGCCUGCUUUAAGCUGAGAGCUUUUACAGACAACAGAGACGACAUGGCACUGGGCCAUGUGAUUGUCCUGCUCCAACAGGAGUGGCCACGGGGAGAGAACCUUUUCCUGAAAGCCAUCAGUAAGAUUUGCCAGCAAGGAAAUUUCCAGUAUGAGAACUUCUUCAGCUAUGUUACAAACAUUGAUAUGCUGGAGGAAUUUGCUUAUUUAAGAACCCAGGAAGGAGGGAAGAUUCAUCUGGAAUUACUCCCAAAUCAAGGAAUGCUGAUCAAGUAAGCAGAUGAUCCUUUGCUCUUCGGGGCUGUGUUCACCGUUCAAGUGCUGCAUGACUGACUUGUAAAUUUCUGUGCCUUUCAGAAAUGUAAAGGGAA
rnacentral:lncRNA from 1 species